UUUUUCCAAGCCCAGAGGCCCCAUCAGCUUCCUCAUUUGGCCUCUAGUUAAUCCUGCUUUCAUUCAAGCCACAGGAUUUUUAAUUCUUUUUUUAAUUAAUUGAUUUAUUUAUUUGGCUGCAUAGGGUCUUUGUUGCUGUGUGCGGGCUUUCUCUAGUUGCAGCAAGUGGGGGCUACUUUUCGUUGCGUUGCGUGGGCUUCUUACUGCGGUGGCCUCUCUUGCUGCAGAGCACCGCUCUAGGUGAAUGGGCUCAGUAGUUGUGGCUCGUGGGCUCUAGAGCGCAGGCUCAGUAGUUGUGGUGCACGGGCCCAGUUGCAUGUGGGAUCCUCCCAGACCAGGGCCCGAACCCAUGUCCCCUGCAUCGGCAGGUGGACUUUCAACCACUGUGCCACCAGGGAAGCCCUUAAAUGUUUUAAUAUUAUUUUAUCAAUUUAUUUUUUCUGCUGUUUCAUAUCUGCAGUGCCAUUGUGUUUGAAAGUUACCGGAACAAGCAUACAGUACUUCAGGUGAUUGAAGUUUCAUCUGCCUUACUGAGUCCUUGGAGCCCUUAACCGCACUUAGAGCAUCGUUGCUAUGGGGACAGAGAGUGCAACAAACAACUUACAAUGAACUUUUUAAAAUUCUGUUUCUAAAUUGAAGGUUUCCUGUACGGAUAACUAUGUUCCCUUUUUUUAUUCUGUAGUUCAAAUAUUUUAAUCGGAUUAAAGUGGAGGAGUUUUCACGGUAUGUUGUCAGAUGUAACCCUGAAAAUUAACUGGCAACAGUUAAUGAUUUCAUAGGUGCACCAGCACCUAUGAAAGCGUUUAUCGUAAACCACCGUGCUGUGCAAGCAUGUUGUUUACGUUAUUUGGCUUCAUCUCUUGACAACCCUGAGUUCAGUUUUUAUCUGAUCAGCCCGUUUUAAACAGAAGGAACCCAAUGCUGGGCAACGGUUGACUGAGGUCACACAGCUGGAAGCAGGGACCAUGGAAUCGCCACCCACAGCUGUCCACCCAGACCACUGGAGUGAUUCUGCUCCAGAAUCCUGCUGAGGCAAAGGAUGGGCCCACAUUCUUCGUGGAACAGAAGCCUGGGACUGGCCUGGCACACGGAUUGCAAAGCUGGAAAAGCUGCAAAACAAUGUCCUGCAAAGAAAAUCAGACUUCCGCCUUGAUAGGCAGACAGCUCUGAUGGAAGGCCCUCAAUCAGAACCUAUGUUCCUUGGGCCCAUAAUUAAGAAACUUCGAGAGGAAGACUUUUGAAACCAGCUGGAAAAGUACGCUGUCUUACCGGCAGAGUUUCAAACAGGUUGAUGAUUACCAUGGGUCAGCCUUGGGGUCCAUGAGCCCUCAUCACAGUUGAUUAUAUGAAACAUGUUUUUUGCCAGCCUCGUCAAAAGGAAAUACAGUAAGAUUCAGUGGGUCGAUCUCAUUUUCUCGAGCGCAGACAAGGCCUCACAGUGGUCUGAGACUCAACUUCGCUCUCCCCAGGAGCAGCGGCAGAGUCUGUGCGACCCCUCUGGUACAGCUGAGCCAGUGUUUCUGGAAUCGCUGACUGAGAACAUCUUCCUCCCCGGGAACUGCCAGAAGUUUCUUGGGUUUAUUCAAGCCAAUCUGUAUUCCAGAACAAUUCCGGGCGAGAUUUGUUAGGAAUACUUCAACAAGGUGCUGUUUGGAAAACACUGCAUGGAGAAAUGGGGUGGCAGGGAAAUCACUCUGAAUCACUCGGGCCUGGGCCGGUCCUAAGCCAGAUUGCAGCAGAUGCCUUUUUGGUAGCUCAAGAAGAUGCUUGCCUUGUUAAGCCCUGCCCAGCUGUGCCACCUCCUGCUUUCCUAUCGCAGGGGAAGGACUACUGAGUGUCUAAUGUCUUAUUUGGGUUCCCCCAGCAGUGAACCCUAAGGUAAGUUCCAGGGAGGCAACAGCAGCCUGGGAAGGAGGAGAGAAUUCAACUCCUAAGCACCCCACAGGACAGAAGUUUGAGGACAGCACAGAUGGUUUGGCCAGGCCCGUGGACUGUGGAGAAAUGAGCACUCGGGGACAGCCAGGAGGCAGAGGCAAGCGGAGAUCACGAUGUCAGCCUGCAGGGAGAAGGCUCUACUCUCAUGACUGAGCAUUCAGCAUUUCGACAUCUUGGGAGGAACUCUAAGGUCAAAUGGUCAAAAUCAACAUCUUGCUAGAAACAUCAGAUCCUAGAAAUCGAGCCUCCCCAGGACUAAGCACCUCCCCCAGGGCUUUGCUGUACUGCGUUGUCUUCCCACCCUCAAAUCCUCUAACUCAGUACAUUGGAACAAGAGACCAGAGAAGAUAUUUGCCCUGCUUCUGGGUGAAGGCAGAAGAGAGAAGGCAGCGGCUGAAUGUGUUAAGUCAGAGGCCCGGUUGAUAGUGGAAGAUGGCUGGGCACCAGCUGAUGGUGUGCACUCGUGAACAGGGGCUUCAGCUCUUGGGGCCAGUUCCGAUGGGCGUGCAGGACGCCCCGUGGGGCUGGAAACGAGGGGAGCACCUGCAUGCGAUUUAGAAGCAUCCCUACCCAGCUCUACCCAACCUAAGCUUCCUGAACUUGAUCAUCAUAUCCUGAUUAUGGAAGGGGAGGUUCCUGUUCCUAGGGGACACAGGUGACCUCUCGAAGGAUCAAGUGCCGUGACCCUGCACGUGUCCCCAGAAGUCGAGGGCGGCUUCCUGGGAAGAUGCUGACAGAGGACGUUGUUAACAGCCCCAGGUUGUUUGUGAAAUGCCUCUACAAGUGGAUGUCUGUGGUCUGGCCCAUCCGAUCUGCCUGUAAUACACCCCAUGGAUUUCAGCCUGGCUCCUGUUAAGGGACGUCUACGUCUUUCCUCCGGACAAGCGGUGCUGCCAUUGCCGUUCUCACCCACGGCUGCUUGAGCCUCCGAGACGGUGGCCCAGAGGGCUGACGGCUUUCUGGGACACGCUCUCCUCAAGGCCAAAACUGGAGCACGAGAGGCCAAGCCAAACCACGGAAGCUCACGUAAAGACCCUGCUCCCGUGCGGUGUGUACUGUCUGCUUGUAGAGUCCAUUGGACAGAGAAGUCCUGAGUUGGUGCCGGAGCCCGCUCCACCCGCAGUGACGUACUGGUGAGAGCAGGAGGGCGAGGAGAAUGGUGCGCAGGCCAAGCCGCCCACCACGGGUGCAGACCUUCUGCUGCCGUGCCCCUCCUCCCACACGCGUGCGUACGCACAUGCACGCGCAUACACUCAGCCACAGCCUGUCCUCACCCUUCCUCCACCGUUCCCUCCUGCCCACUCCCCCCCGCCCCCAGUUCUUUCCAGAGCUGAAUUGGGUUGGGGAGUGACCAGGUGCCUGGUGCACUGAUAAAUAAGAAAGCAAAGGCAUCACCAGGAAGUAAUGUAUUAGGAUUUUCAACAGCCAAGACGUGGAAGCAAUGUAAAUGCCCAUCAACAGAGGAAUGGAUAAAGAAGAUGUGGUACAUAUAUACAAUGGAAUAUUACUCAGCCAUAAAAAAGAAUGAAAUAAUGCCAUUUGCAGCAAGAUCGAUAGAACUAGAGAUUAUCAUACUAAGCGAAGUAAGUCAAAGACAAAUAUCGUAUGAUAUCACUUAUAUGUGGAAUCAAAAAUAUGAUACAGAUGCACUUAUUUACAAAACAGAAAUAGACUCACAGACAUAGAAAACAAACUUACGGUCACCAAAGGGGAAAGGGGGAGAGAGAAAGUAGGAGUAUGGGAUUAACAUAUUAUAUAUAAAAUAGAUAAACAAUAAGGACCUACUGUAUAGCACAGGGAACUAUAGUCAAUAUCUUAUAAUAA